AGUCCCCGCGGCCGCGUGUGCCUCCUCGCCGUCGUGGGUGCUCUCUCCCCACUUGCCAAGUGUGAGUACCAGCUACCCACCCAUGUUCUUCUCUGUAAUCAAGUGUUCGCGGGGAAGCUCAGUUAUGGCCAAUUCAUCUCAAAAUAAUGCAAACCCUUGCAGACAGCUCAGGAAGCAGUUGAGCACACUGGCGGCAUCGGUUGUAAAUAGCCGGACUAAAGGAACUAUGCACAUAUCUGCACCCGCAAGUUUUAUUGCUGGAGUGUGGAAUGAUUUGAGCACGGCAGUCAAGGGGCAGAAUUAUUGUUGAAACAUGCCACCGUGUGAAGAUGAAUAGGAACCUUUCAUAAUUAUUCCCAAACAUGCCACCGUGUCAUCAUUGGCCAGUGCAGUUGUGUUACUUGAAGAAUAAUGGCAAGGGAGGUGGGGCGAUAUGCAUGUCCAUGGAGCGGCGGAGGCCAGCAAGUGGAGAAAGAUGAAGGUUGCACAACACCAAGGGUGUGAAUGGGGACAACAAGUAGGCGGCAUGUAUACUACACCAAGGAGCGAUACAGGGCAUGAAGCAAGCAAGCGAGCAGGUGUACACAGCGACCUGCUACUGCACUAAUAGCCUUGACAGAGCACCGGGGCCGGCUCGACAGGGCAUUCGGCCGCCGGCAGACCCUGGAUGUGCGCGAUGGAGAUGAACCCCGCGUUGUCGCCUUUGCAGCCUGGAUAGAGCUCCGUCAGUGCUGGUGAUGAACCCCACGUCUGUGCUGGUGAUGGCGCUGUCCAUCUACUUUCUCCACUGGCUGUCAGACAGUAGAGAUCACAUUGUGGAUUUAUGUUUUCUUCAGAGUGUUCUCCCGUCAUUGUUGGAUGUCGA